rnacentral:tRNA from 1 species
GGGCGAUUAGCUCAGAGGUAAGAGCGUCUGUUUUACACACAGAAGGUCACUGGUUCGAGUCCAGUAUCGCCCACCA